rnacentral:lncRNA from 10 species
UUUGACUGUAUUUCAAAGGCAGUGACUGUAAACAAACUUGGUUGAAGAAAUAAGAACCACAUGACAAAAUGCUUGAAUUAAAUCUUUUUUUUUUUUUUUUUUUUUUUUGCCACAUUUCACAUUUGAGAACCCAGAAUUCAGCUCCUGUUAUACAAAAUUUGUAAAAAUUUAUUGCCUUGGCGUAAAGUGACAAUCAUGCCUUGGCGUAAAGUGAAAAUCUUCACAGAAGGGUAUGCUUUGUGUCACCAAAUGGGGGUGCAGCUGUGUGAUAUCUGUGCAGUUUGUGAUAAAAUUAAAAAUUUUCUGUGAAAGAUUCUUAACUGGAAAUUGGAAGGGAAAACAAGAAGAAACAAUGUAAUGUAGCAGUGGAAACAAAAUUCUCACAAUGAAUAGCAGUCUUUCCAGCUUCUUUGACACGGAUUUCCUCAUCAUCAAUGGCGGCUCUCCUGAACUAGGGAUGAGUGUGAAUCUCCAUUUGAGGAAGGGGAAGAAGAGCUUGGAGGGUGACAGCCUCCCCCUGAGAGAGCCAGUUGUGUUCAUGAUUUUGGUUCCUUCUUCCUCCUAAUUAAGCAUCUGCCCAGGAGCCCAGGAGCCAGGGCUUAGCUUCCUGGCUAUUUUCAACUCUUCUUAGUGAAGACCAGCAUUGCCAGCCCACUGACCCCAGUAGGGUCACCCCUGCCCACUGAGAACCAGCCACCCCCUCACCCCCCACCAGAGUUCCCUGAAGGAACCAGCUGCCUCUAGUGGGAGACAGAGUAAAGGCUGCCUCCUGGGAUACUGCUUCACCAGCCCAUCACCCCAGCCCUGUGGACUGCUCCUCCCUCACCUGGUUUCUACGUGGACCCACCAUUCUUGCCCUCCUGGACCCCUAAACUGGCCCAUGUGUUUAGUUGUAGAAUGGGGGCCAGGACUGGACAUGUGGUUUGAUUGCUAAGGACCUAGCAGAGGCUCAUCAUGUGGUAGACUCUGUAUUUUAUCGUGUGUGUAUGUGUGUGUAUAUUUACACACACAUACACACAAGAUAGAUAUAUAUAUUAAGUGGACACUGUAUGUGUAUAUAUACACAUACAUAUAUUAUAGAUGUAUGCAUAUAUGUAUAUAUGUAUACAUAUAUGUAUAUGUGCAUACAUAUAGAGGUAUACAUAUAGAUGCAUAUCUGUAUACAUGUGUAUAUAUAUACAUAUAUGGAUACAUACAUAUUUAUG